UUCGUAGGUGGCCAACUAAGUCAGACGUGAAAUCCCUCAGCUUAACUGGGGAACUGCGUCUGAGACUGGAUGGCUUGAGUGCAGGAGAGGAACGCGGAAUUCCAGGUGUAGCGGUGAAAUGCGUAGAUAUCUGGAGGAACACCGGUGGCGAAGGCGGCGUUCUGGACUGCUACUGACACUGAGGAACGAAAGCCAGGGAGGCAAACG
rnacentral:rRNA from 1 species